rnacentral:lncRNA from 1 species
UUGGGCUGUGUACUGGUACAGGGUUGAUGGCUGUACCGGUACAUGGUUGAUGGUUGUACUGGUACAUGAUUGUGUACCGGUACGCAGGCAGCUUCCCAGCCAACCCGAGGCUCGGGUUUGGCAUUUUCGUGGGAUGUGUACCGGUACGUGGGCCCGUGUACCGGUACGCAGUGGCAGUUUUUGAGCAGUUUGAACUGCAGGGGGUUUUUCGCAUUUGUGG